rnacentral:rRNA from 1 species
AUUGAACGCUGGCGGCAUGCUUUACACAUGCAAGUCGAACGAGUGGCGAACGGGUGAGUAACGCAUCGGAACGUACCGAGUAAGGGGGGAUAACUGUUCGCAAGGAUAGCUAAUACCGCAUAUUAUUCGAGCGACCGAUGUCUGAUUAGCUGGUGGGGGGGGUAAAGGCCAACCAAGGCGACGAUCAGUAGCGGGUCUGAGAGGAUAGGCCGCCACACUGGGACUGGGACACGGCCCAGACUCCUACGGGAGGCAGCAGUGGGGAAUUUUGGACAAUGGGCGCAAGCCUGAGCCAGCCAUGCCGCGUGUCUGAAGAAGGCCUUCGGGUUGUAAAGGACUUUUGUCAGGGAAGCGGUACCUGAAGAAUAAGCACCGGCUAACUACGUGCCAGCAGCCGCGGUAAUUC